rnacentral:rRNA from 1 species
AUCUCAGUUCGGAUUGUAGGCNGCAACUCGCCUACAUGAAGUUGGAAUCGCUAGUAAUCGCGAAUCAGAAUGUCGCGGUGAAUACGUUCCCGGGUCUUGUACACACCGCCCGUCACACCACGAGAGUUUACAACACCCGAAGUCAGUGGCCUAACCGCAAGGAGGGAGCUGCCUAAGGUGGGGGUAGAUGAUUGGGGGUGAAGUCGUAACAAGGUAGC